rnacentral:rRNA from 1 species
UACGGAGGGUGCAAGCGUUGUCCGGAAUCACUGGGCGUAAAGGGCGCGUAGGCGGCUCGGUAAGUAGGGGGUGAAAUCCUGCGGCUUAACCGCAGGGCUGCCUUCUAAACUGUCGAGCUUGAGCACGGUAGAGGCAGAUGGAAUUCCCGGUGUAGCGGUGGAAUGCGCAGAUAUCAGGAAGAACACCAACGGCGAAGGCAGCUCGCUGGGACGGAACUGACGCUAAGGCGCGAAAGCGUGGGGAGCGAACAGG